rnacentral:rRNA from 2 species
AGUCGAGCGACUGAUUAGAAGCUUGCUUCUAUGACGUUAGCGGCGGACGGGUGAGUAACACGUGGGCAACCUGCCUGAAGACUGGGAUAACUUCGGGAAACCGAAGCUAAUACCGGAUAGGAUCUUCUCCUUCAUGGGAGAUGAUUGAAAGAUGGUUUCGGCUAUCACUUACAGAUGGGCCCGCGGUGCAUUAGCUAGUUGGUGAGGUAACGGCUCACCAAGGCAACGAUGCAUAGCCGACCUGAGAGGGUGAUCGGCCACACUGGGNNNGAGACACGGCCCAGACUCCUACGGGAGGCAGCAGUAGGGAAUCUUCCGCAAUGGACGAAAGUCUGACGGAGCAACGCCGCGUGAGUGAUGAAGGCUUUCGGGUCGUAAAACUCUGUUGUUAGGGAAGAACAAGUACGAGA